rnacentral:rRNA from 1 species
AUUGAACGCUGGCGGCAGGCCUAACACAUGCAAGUCGAACGAGUGGCGGACGGGUGAGUAAUGUCUGGGAAACUGCCUGAUGGAGGGGGAUAACUACUGGAAACGGUAGCUAAUACCGCAUACCAUCAGAUGUGCCCAGAUGGGAUUAGCUAUUUGGUGGGGUAACGGAGUACCAGGGCGACGAUCCCUAGCUGGUCUGAGAGGAUGACCGGCCACACGGGAACUGAGACACGGUCAGGACUCCUACGGGAGGCAGCAGUGGGGAAUAUUGCACAAGGGGCGCAAUCCUGAUGCAGCCAUGCCGCGUGUAUGAAGAAGGCCUUCGGGUUGUAAAGUACUUUCAGCGGGGAGGCGUUACCCGCAGAAGAAGCACCGGCUAACUCCGUGCCAGCAGCCGCGGUAAUAC